AAGCAAGCCGGCGAAAAUUAACCAGCGAAAAAAAAUCGCCCCACUCUGCGCCCUCGAGCGAGGUUUCGUGCCCUCGAGCGAGAAACAGUCGCCCGACACUGUUCCCUCCUUCGCCCGCCGCCUCCCUUCGUCCCUUCACCGCCGCCGCCCUUCGUCCCUUCGCCGCCCCCGCUCCAUCCAUUCACCGUCGCCCUGGCACUGAUCCGGCGCGUAAAUCGCACAUCACAAGCGCCGGCCUCCACUGAUCCGGCGCUGGUCCAGGAUCCGGCGCCGAUCCUAGUCAGGACCCGUCGCCGGAGACGUCCAGGAUCCGGCUACAACUUUCACCAGCCGCCGCCGAGGAGCCCUACGCCGCAGCCAAGAUCCGAGAGGAGUAGCCGCUGCCGAGAUCCGAGAGGAGCAGCCGCCGCCGAGGUUCGAGAGGAGCUGGCCACCGCGACCUCCCUCCCCAGCCGACCGCCACCACCUCCUCCCCCACCCCCUCCCCCACGUGCCUGGCAUAGGUGGGUCUCAGCCUCCCUCCUACCUCCGUCCAAGGCUAGGAACUCCCCUCCCCUCCCGAUCUCCUCCCUUCGUCCAAGGCCACGAGCUCCCCUCCCCUACCCGAUCUGACGAAGAGAGGGCCAGGCCUUCCACUCCGGUGUUCGAUGUGGCCAGAUCCAGCCGGGGGACUCGCCGCAGAGCCUCCAUGUCGGCGGAGCAGCAGCAGCCCAACAGAAGAUGAACUGCACACCUGAAUGCAGCACUCGUGCAAAGAUGCAACAUCUUGGUCGGCUGCUCGCGAUGGAGCGUGUGGCUGGUGCUUGCAGGAGUGGUAGAGCAGCGUCGGCGAGCGCGGCGCAAGUAGUGGCCAGAGCUGCAUGGGCCGCUGCAAGCAUGCCAUCCAGGCAGCACUUCAAGUAUGACAAUGUCCACUCUACACCAAGGUAAGGCAAGAGAUCCGUCUGCUGGUACUAUGAUUGGUCGCUGCACUACGCUGGCCGAGGCCACACGUCAUCACCUACCCCACCAUGCUGCACCUUUGGAUUGCUUGCUGCCGAGGCCGACACCAUCUGUCGCCCCUUAACACUUUUUUAAAAUCAUGGAAAAUCUCUUGGUUUCUUUACCAUGUUGUAAUUUGUUUCUAUGCUUUACAUUUUAUUGCGUCAUGCCUCCAGGACGGUGUUUUCUAAACUACAGUUGCGUUAGCAUGAGGCUCUUCUGUAAUAUGCAGGACUACUUCCAAACAACAUACAACUUCUUCUAGAUGUCCUCACACUUUCUAUUUCCAAUGCAUAGAACCCAAAAAUAUGCUUUUCGGAUGUCUCAGGUAUGGAAUUAAUCACUACUACAAGCUUUGUCUACACUUCAUAAGUUAUAUGGAGCAAGUUGAUCUUUAGAAGAAUAACAUGUGAAAUUCAACUUUUGGAUUUGUUGAAUUAAUAUAAAUGUAGCCUUCUUCCUUCUUGGCCAAUAGGUGCUCGAGUUCUUUAUCUAAUGUGGGUACUGAAUAUAUGUGAGUCCUGUUGUAGCAUAUGAAAGGAGCCUUGAUUGUUGAGGAUUUCACAACUUUAUUACAUCUUUUAUCAUGAUAUAUUAAAUAACUUGCUGGUAUGAUCUGGGAGCAGAUUGUUGCUUUUGUUGGUGAGCCAAUCAAGCAAUUGGAAUAACUAUAAAUUUUUGUUAAUUGCACUCCAGGUUAUCUGCUAUCAGAUUGUUCAUACAACGUGCCACGGCCACUUCUGCAGCAAGUCUGAGCUGCCCUGGGUCUUCUAGAAAUUAUUGAAGAAGCGUCACGUAUCGAUAGAUCUGGAUCCUUUGUGUUGGAAGAGCUGCUGCGUCGGACUAUCAUAGUUCAUAUCAUAAUGUUGAUGCCUCUUUUGAUAUAGCGCUCAAAUAAGAUUAGGAGGAAGGGCAUCACACUCUCCGAGAGCAAACAAGAUACCACGUACCGAUCCUGAUUUAGAAUUAUGACAAGGAGUCAGGGACACAAUAAGAUUUAUACCAUCCGUUGUGAUGAUACAAGGAAAGUAAACAUAUACGCAUAUUGUGUUCAACGUGAUGAUACAAGCGAAAGCUGGCCUACGCCGCCAACUGAUCUGCGGCAGCGUGGAAGGAGUGUUCAAAAGCAGCAGGAACAGUUGUUCCACUGCUGGUCGGAGGGAGAGCUUAGCAAGGGAGAUAGAGGGAGCUCUACAACCACGAUCUUGGCAUACAACCCGAUGGCAUCAUGCCCACUUAAGCUUCUUCCAUGUUCCAAUUCUUGCAUUUGUUGGUCUUUUACUGUCAGAGCUUACGAAAUCCAUUACAAAUGGAGGUGAGGCCAAGUCGUGAACUUGCUGAGACGUCUUUGCCUUGAAUUCUAAGGAUUGAAUCUAAAUGGAGGUGAGGCCAAGUCUUGAACGAAUACUAAGGUUUGCAUCUUUUAUAAAGCUUGACAGUUACUGUGUAGUUUCAGUUAACAUGAUAGUCACGCGUGGUGAAUCUCUUUUCUUGUCCAGAGAUUUCACGAAUCCAUUAUUGCCUACAGAACAACAUCCUAGGGCCCUCCCAGUUUGAUUCUCUUUGUUUUGCUAUAUCUCAACUAUUACAUACAUCAUUUAUGCUCUGAAGCUAACCAUUGUAUGCUUUGAUUGGUUGGAGCGGCAAGGUUUUCCAGAUCCUGGGAGUCUAUCCCUUCCAACAAUCUGGAGGUAGCAUAGUACAUCCGUACUCGCAGAGGGAAUAUGUCUGAGCCGCCGUUAUGUGUUUCUACUAAUUAAAGAACAACUAGGGUCACUUGAAAGAAGACGAGCUGGAAGAAUUCCACGAUAGACCAUUGCUUCAAGGUUGGGAGCGGCCACAACAUAAUUGACAUCAAAACCAGAUCUGGGUCCUACAUAUCCGGUCUUGCUCGUAUCCUACAAUGGUUUACAGAUGGUGUGGCUCCUUGCACUAAGAUGAUCGAUCAGAGAUCUAGAGUCCUCAAUACAGUCGAUGACGCCUCCUCAAGAUUCACUUCUUCGUAGCCCCCAACCUCGGUAUAGUAUAAAAACCUACAAAUAAAUCAGAAGAAUAGGCAAUUAUCGGAUGCUUAUGUUUGUUGGUGUAGUAGCCCUCUUAAGUCCAGUCCUAGAGAAGUGUGUCGUAGAAGCAUAUCAGGAAGACUUGGAUGUGGAUAUGCAUUAUGGUUGUAUUAUGGACGUGGAUAUGGUCGCUAUAUUAGCUAUAUCUUUUACAUAUUUUUCUGAGUUUGUUCUCAGGGGUGGGUCGUGGCUACCUGAUAACGAUCCAAUUUGGUUGUUUUAUGAUCUUGUCAAGAUAUUUCACACCAUACGGAUUAACUAUCACCAGUUUUAGUUAA